CCCCGUGGAGCUUUACUGUAGCCUGAUAUUGAAAUUCGGCACAGCUUGUACAGGAUAGGUAGGAGCCUUUGAAACGUGAGCGCUAGCUUACGUGGAGGCGCUGGUGGGAUACUACCCUAGCUGUGUUGGCUUUCUAACCCACACCACUUAUCGUGGUGGGAGACAGUGUCAGGCGGGCAGUUUGACUGGGGCGGUCGCCUCCUAAAAGGUAACGGAGGCGCUCAAAGGUUCCCUCAGAAUGGUUGGAAAUCAUUCAUAGAGUGUAAAGGCAUAAGGGAGCU
rnacentral:rRNA from 1 species